GCCACCGUAGCUCAAUUGAAAGAGCACACCUCCCAUCGGGAGCUGAGGUUGUGGGUUUGAGUCCCACCGGCGGCA
rnacentral:tRNA from 2 species